UUAUGUGGAAAACACCUUUUUCUUUGUGAGCAUAAAUAUUAUGUGCCCUAAUUUGGACUAGUAGAUAUUGGUGUUGUGAAGUAUAUGUGGAUUGCCCACCUCUUCCCAAUGGCUUAAGCUUUUGGGUUCAUCUGGUUGGUGCAUGAAACUUAACAUGGUAUCAAAGCUAAAGUUCUCGAGUUCGAGUCCUGACAAAGGCGUCAUUUAAGUCCUCCGCUCCUUUAUUUCCACGUUUGUGCCUUGUAUGUGGCCUCACGUGAGUGGGUGUGGAUCGCCCACCUCUUCCUAAUGGCUUAAGCUAUUGGAUUCAUCUGGUUGGUGCAUGAAACCUAACAAUUGGUAAGUACCUCAUCAAAACAAAAUUCAUGAUUCUUAGACCAUUAGUGUAAAGACCACACUGAAGGGGCUGAACGGUGACUACUGAAGGUGGGCUUUAGGAUGGGUGAGCCAGGAGGGUGAUACCAGACUAUGGUGGUUUAGAAUUUAGGCCUCAAAAAGUUUCUUUUUGAACGAAAAAGGUCUCAAAAAGUCUAAUCCAUUCUUCACUUAUAACAGCAGACCACCAUCCCUCAUCUACUGUAGGGUUGCCUCCUAACAAAAUCUCUAAACCAGAUCUUGUCUUAUCUCUUAUCCCUGACAAACAUUUCUCUGACCCAGAGCAGCUUAUCUAUUAGUUAAACAAUAACCAACUAACCUGGGAGUUACUACAGCACCAUGCAAUAUGAUUCACAAUUUCACCUGAACAAUACAACAUUACAACACAUGUUGGGAUACUUGCCCACUUAUUUCAUAUAUUUUUCUA
rnacentral:lncRNA from 1 species